UUAAGUUACUAAGGGCACACGGUGGAUGCCUUGGCGCUAGGAGCCGAUGAAGGACGCAGCGAACUGCGAUAAGCCUCGGGGAGCGGUAAGCACGCGUUGAUCCGGGGAUCUCCGAAUGGGGGAACCCACCAUCCGUAAUGGGAUGGUAUCCGUCACUGAAUCCAUAGGUGGCGAGAAGGCACACCCGGUGAACUGAAACAUCUAAGUAGCCGGAGGAAGAGAAAACAACAGUGAUUCCGUCAGUAGUGGCGAGCGAACGCGGAAGAGCCUAAACCGCAGGGUUUACUCUGCGGGGUCGUGGGACGUCUCACGUGGAGUUACAAAAGACACCUGUAGGUGAACGGUCUGGGAAGGCCGACCAGAGAGCGUGACAGUCGCGUAACCCAAACAGGUGUCUCUCCGAGACGGAUCCCGAGUAGCACGGGACACGUGAAAUCCCGUGUGAAUCUGGCAGGACCAUCUGCUAAGGCUAAAUACUCCCUAGCGACCGAUAGCGAACCAGUACCGUGAGGGAAAGGUGAAAAGCACCCCGGGAGGGGAGUGAAAUAGUACCUGAAACCGUGUGCUUACAAAUAGUCGGAGCCCGUUACAUGGGUGACGGCGUGCCUUUUGUAGAAUGAACCGGCGAGUUACGGUAGCGUGCGAGGUUAAGUCGAAGAGACGGAGCCGCAGCGAAAGCGAGUCUGAACAGGGCGAAAGUACGUUGCCGUAGACCCGAAACCGUGUGAUCUAGCCAUGUCCAGGGUGAAGGUAGGGUAACACCUACUGGAGGCCCGAACCCACGCACGUUGAAAAGUGCGGGAUGAGGUGUGGCUAGCGGUGAAAUUCCAAUCGAACUCGGAGAUAGCUGGUUCUCCCCGAAAUAGCUUUAGGGCUAGCCUCGGAAUGAGAGUCUUGGAGGUAGAGCACUGAUUGGGCUAGGGGCCCUCAUCGGGUUACCGAACUCAGUCAAACUCCGAAUGCCAACGACUUAUGUCCGGGAGUCAGACGAUGAGUGCUAAGAUCCAUCGUCAAAAGGGAAACAGCCCAGACCAUCAGCUAAGGUCCCCAAGUGUACGUUAAGUGGGAAACGAUGUGGAGUUGCCCAGACAACCAGGAUGUUGGCUUAGAAGCAGCCACCAUUUAAAGAGUGCGUAAUAGCUCACUGGUCGAGUGACUCUGCGCGGAAAAUGUAACGGGGCUAAACGUACCACCGAAGCUAUGGCAGUCCUACGGACUGGGUAGGGGAGCGUUCCAAGUAGCGGCGAAGCCGUACCGGAAGGAGCGGUGGAGCGCUUGGAAGUGAGAAUGCCGGUGUAAGUAGCGAAAAGACAAGUGAGAAUCUUGUCCACCGAAAGCCUAAGGGUUCCUGGGGAAGGCUCGUCCUCCCAGGGUUAGUCGGGACCUAAGCUGAGGCCGAAAGGCGUAGGCGAUGGACAACAGGUUGAUAUUCCUGUACCACCUCCAUUCCGCUUGAGCAAUGGCGUGACGCAGGAGGAUAGGGCGAGCGGCCUGCUGGAUGGCCGUCCAAGCAGCAAGCCUGGUGUGUAGGCAAAUCCGCACACCGUCAAGGGCAAGCUGUGAUGGCGAGGGAAAUGCAAGUACCGAAGUCCCUGAUUUCACACUGCCAAGAAAAGCGUCUAGCGAGGAAUGAGGUGCCCGUACCGCAAACCGACACAGGUAGGCGAGGAGAGAAUCCUAAGGUGCGCGGGAGAACUCUUGCUAAGGAACUCGGCAAAAUGGCCCGUAACUUCGGGAGAAGGGCGCCCCGGUAGGGUUAACAGCCGAGGGGGCCGCAGUGAAAAGGCCCAAGCGACUGUUUAGCAAAAACACAGGUCUCUGCGAAGCCGCAAGGCGAAGUAUAGGGGCUGACGCCUGCCCGGUGCUGGAAGGUUAAGGGGAUGAGUUAGCGCAAGCGAAGCUUUGAACCGAAGCCCCAGUAAACGGCGGCCGUAACUAUAACGGUCCUAAGGUAGCGAAAUUCCUUGUCGGGUAAGUUCCGACCCGCACGAAAGGCGUAACGACUUGGGCGCUGUCUCGGCAAGAGACCCGGUGAAAUCAUAAUACCUGUGAAGAUGCAGGUUACCCGCGACAAGACGGAAAGACCCCAUGGAGCUUUACUGUAGCCUGAUAUUGGACUUUGGUACGAUCUGUACAGAAUAGGUGGGAGCCUGGGAAGCCGGUGCGCCAGCAUCGGUGGAGGCGCCGUUGGGAUACCACCCUGAUCGUAUCGGAGUUCUAACCCGCGGCCUGAUCGGGUCGGGGAACAGUGUCAGGUGGGCAGUUUGACUGGGGGCGGUCGCCUCCUAAAAGGUAACGGAGGCGCCCAAAGGUUCCCUCAGAAUGGUCGGAAAUCAUUCGUAGAGUGUAAAGGCAGAAGGGAGCUUGACUGCGAGACCUACAAGUCGAGCAGGGACGAAAGUCGGGCUUAGUGAUCCGGUGGUUCCGCAUGGAAGGGCCAUCGCUCAACGGAUAAAAGCUACCCUGGGGAUAACAGGCUUAUCUCCCCCAAGAGUCCACAUCGACGGGGAGGUUUGGCACCUCGAUGUCGGCUCAUCGCAUCCUGGGGCUGAAGUAGGUCCCAAGGGUUGGGCUGUUCGCCCAUUAAAGCGGUACGCGAGCUGGGUUCAGAACGUCGUGAGACAGUUCGGUCCCUAUCUGUCGCGGCGCAGGAAGUUUGAGGAGAGCUGUCCUUAGUACGAGAGGACCGGGAUGGACGCACCGCUGGUGCACCAGUUGUUCCGCCAGGAGCACAGCUGGGUAGCUAUGUGCGGACGGGAUAAGCGCUGAAAGCAUCUAAGCGUGAAGCCCCCUCCCAAGAUGAGACUUCCCACAGCGUCAAGCUGGUAAGACCCCUCAAAGACGAUGAGGUUGAUAGGUUCGGUGUGGAAGCGCGGCAACGCGUGGAGCUGACGAA
rnacentral:rRNA from 1 species